CAGAGACAGAGACACAGACAGACACAGAAUCCGAAGCAGGCUCCAAGCUCCGAGCUGUCAGCACAGAGCCUGACUCGGGGCUGGAACCCACGAACUGUGGGAACAUGACCUGAGCUGAAGUCAGAAACUUAACCCACUUAGACACCCAGGUGCCCCCUUUGGAUGUGUUUUUAAUGUGGGUUUUCGAACAGAGGCAAAAGGCAGCACCUGGGUGGUUCAGCGGGUUAAACCUCUGACUUCAGCUCAGGUCAUGAUCUCAUGGUUUGUGGGUUCAAGCCCAACAUCGGGCUCUGUGCUGACAGCUCAGAGUCUGGAACCUGCUUUGGAUUCUGUGUCUCUCUGUCCCUCCUAUGCUCAUGCUCUUUCUGUGUCUCUCAAUAAUAAAUAAAACCAAAAAAGCUUUUAAAAAAUGGCUAAAAUGAUACAUUUGCUGUUAGGUAUAUUUUACCACAAUAAAAAAAUCAACUAAGGAAAGUAUCAACUGAACUGAAUGUAAACACCCCCAGGCCCAGGAUUCCAAUCCCUGGGCACGUGCCAGUGGGGAUGGGUGCCAGUGUUUGCCAAAAGACACGCUUUGGGAUGUUCCUACCAGUAGUAUUUGUUAGAGCCUCAGACUGGAUACGACUCAGCUGUUCACAGAUGCCAGAACGUUCGUAAGGAACCUGCAUCCACACCAGGGAUUAUCACACAGUGAGAAGACAAGGUCAGGUCCGCCCGCUAACAGUUCACACCUACAUGGUGCCAAGCGAAAGAAGUCCGGGUUGGAAGAGCGCACACUGCGUGAUUCCAUUUAUAUGAGGUUCAAACCCCCACCAAAUGAAUCCGUGGCCCUAGUGCCAACCGUGGGGCGUUGUGACUGGAAGUGGUUUCUGGGCGCAGGAAAUAUUCCGUGUUGCGAUCUGAGUCCUCGUCGGCGGGUGUGUUUACUUUGUGAAACUUCAUCAAGGAAUAUACUUGGAUUCAGUGUGGAUUUCAGUAAAAAAAAAUUACCCAAAUGCGACAGAGACACAAAGUGAGCAGACGCUGUCGGAAAAUGGUGCCGAUAGGCUUCCUCGGCACAGGGUUGCCCAAAACCUUCAACUUGUAAAAACUGCAGUAUCUGUGAAACACAAUAAAGCAAAGCGCAAUAAAAUUA